rnacentral:rRNA from 1 species
UACGAAGGGGGCUAGCGUUGUUCGGAAUCACUGGGCGUAAAGCGCACGUAGGCGGACAUCUAAGUCAGGGGUGAAAUCCCAGGGCUCAACCCUGGAACUGCCCUUGAUACUGGAUGUCUCGAGUCCGGGAGAGGUGAGUGGAACUCCGAGUGUAGAGGUGAAAUUCGUAGAUAUUCGGAAGAACACCAGUGGCGAAGGCGGCUCACUGGCCCGGUACUGACGCCGAGGUGAGAAAGCGUGGGGAGCAAACAGG